rnacentral:tRNA from 1 species
GAAAAUCCGUCGAAUGGAAAAAUCGUGAGGGAAAAGCCCA